AUCAGGAAAGCCAAAGAGAUGAGGAUGACAGAAAGAACUGCACGGGUGAGCCAUAUUUGCAGCAGUCCAUCUGUGGCAACAGAGAAGAAAAGAGUGGAAAUACAUGUGUUGGAGGGAAGCAGAAAGGUCAGAGAAGAGAAGAUGCUCCUCUACUGGCUUUGGAGAUGGAGAAGGAGCCACAAGCCAAGAGAGUGCGGGAGGCCUUUAGAAGCUGGAGAAGCAAAGAAGGGGAUUCUCCCUAGAGCCUCCAGAAAAAAACACAGCCCUGCCAACAUCUUGAUUUUAGGACUUCUGACCUCCAGCACUCUAAGCUCAUGGAAGGCAGGGACUGCACCCUGGCCCCGGUGGAUCCCCAGCACCCAGCGGAGUGGCCAGCAUGGGGGUACUUCAUCGGAAGGAGGAGGAGAAAGAACAGACUCGUAGAGCAACUGUGAGGCGUCUCCGUGUUGAGGUGAUGUUGAAACCUCCACACCCUCCAUCCUCUGAAGUUUGCUGUGCCCUAGGGGCUCUGCCAUUGUUCUCUGUGAUGUUAGAGGUAACUGGGAGAGUGUCCAAGGUCAGACCCAUUUCCUGUCUUACAUAAAGUGCUUUUAUUUUAUAUUCUCUGUUCUCCUCUCCCAGGCCACAGAACCUAGAGGCUCUUCCUGCAGAGUGGUGGAGAGGGAGGGCAGAGGAGUCUACCUUCUUCGAAUCCUGAUGCCACCACUGAUCAGCGUUGUGGCAUUGGUCAAUUUCCCUAAGCCUCAGUUGCCCCAUCUGUAAAACAGGGCUAAUAGUAGAGAGUUGUUCUCUAGAUUAAGUGAGACAAUAAUACUUAGUAAAUGGUUAGUCUAAUUAAUUACCCUUAUCAAUGGUUACUCUAAUUAAUUACCCUUAUCUUAGGAAAAGUUCAAAAGGUUCUGCUCCCAGGAAAUAAUGCAUAAAACCUUAAGAAAUAAGAGACCCUUGAGAAUUGCAAGCCCACUUUACACAAAGAGAAAAUGGACCUAGAGAGCGAAAGGGACUUGUCCCAGGUUGCACAGCCAACCAGAGGCAAUGCCAGGGUGAAAACUGGGCACUGAGCUCCCAGCACAGGGAGCUCCUGUGCCUCACACGCCCCACUGGAUGGGGGAGAAGGGCAGUUACAAAUUCUUUUUUUUUAAAACAAUGGUUAGCAUCUUUUUAUUUGCAGGUAUCAGGAGCACAAAUAUAUAUAGCCAGCUAGUAUACUACUAGUCUCUAGUGUGUUGAUGGAGCCCCUGAUAGGAGGGCUUGGUGCCCUUUCUUUAUCCUGUUUCUCUUUUCCUUUUGGCUACUUACUGCUCCAGCCUACUCUCUGUAGUACCUUGUUGUCUGUCCAUGUGAGACUAGUCAUAUACUUACAUCAUUAAUAUCAAACUAGAGUUCUUAGUACCCCUGUCUACAUGUCUUAAAUAUUUGGAGGUUUUGGGGUUUUCUUUAAUAGACUUUGUUUCUUUUUUAUUUAUUUAUUUUUGGCGGAAUUGGGUCUUCGUUGCUG